rnacentral:misc_RNA from 1 species
AAAUGAUCUUGGGUUAGAUAGUUUAGACACUGUGGAAGUUGUGAUGGCCCUUGAAGAAGAAUUUGGGUUUGAGAUUCCAGACAAUGAAGCCGACAAGAUCAACUCAAUAAACUUAGCAGUUGAUUUCAUUGCAUCUCACCCUCAGGCAAAAUAAGCGAACAAAAUAUAGCUUGAUGAGUACUCAUUUCCUUUUAUAACUUCUUUGUCCCAAUUCAACUACUUCAUUUACUCACUUUUGGCGUGUGGUUUGUCAUACGUAUGCUUCUUGCUCAGCGACUUGUAAGGAUUUUUGUCCUUCCUGAAGACGAGAACUGCCAUUAUCAGCUAGACAAAAGUUCAAUCUCUAUCAGAUUUGAGAUAUAUGUUAAAAUGUUUAGUGCUUGUGAAAAUAAAUCUAGCUUUAUGGUACACCAUUGUGUCGAGAUGAAAAUCCUAAUUGCUAGCCAAAAGCCAUAAGUUAAAAGGCUUUAUCAUUCUCAUUUUUGAUCAAUUUGGUUUGUGUUCUUUUUGUUUUCUCAUUCAAUGUUAUUGAACAUUUGCUAGAAUUUUGGUUAAUUUAGAUUUGUGCCGCGUAAAGUGAAAGUACUAGUGUA